rnacentral:rRNA from 1 species
UCAAACUGGAGAUGGCGACCGGCGCACGGUGAGUAACACGUAUCCAACCUGCCGAUAACUCGGGGAUAGCCUUUCGAAAGAAAGAUUAAUACCCGAUGGUAUAAUAAAACCGCAUGGUUUAAUUAUUAAAGAAUUUCGGUUAUCGAUGGGGAUGCGUUCCAUUAGGCAGUUGGUGAGGUAACGGCUCACCAAACCUUCGAUGGAUAGGGGUUCUGAGAGGAAGGUCCCCCACAUUGGAACUGAGACACGGUCCAA